rnacentral:rRNA from 1 species
GAACGCUGGCGGCGUGCCUAAUACAUGCAAGUCGAGCGAACAUUCGAGGGGGGCUGCUCCUCUGACGUUAGCGGCGGACGGGUGAGUAACACGUGGAUAACCUACCUAUAAGACUGGGAUAACUUCGGGAAACCGGAGCUAAUACCGGAUAACAUGUUGAACCGCAUGGUUCAACAGUGAAAGACGGUCUUGCUGUCACUUAUAGAUGGAUCCGCGCCGCAUUAGCUAGUUGGUAAGGUAACGGCUUACCAAGGCAACGAUGCGUAGCCGACCUGAGAGGGUGAUCGGCCACACUGGAACUGAGACACGGUCCAGACUCCUACGGGAGGCAGCAGUAGGGAAUCUUCCGCAAUGGGCGAAAGCCUGACGGAGCAACGCCGCGUGAGUGAAGAAGGUCUUCGGAUCGUAAAACUCUGUUAUUAGGGAAGAACAAAUGUGUAAGUAACUAUGCACGUCUUGACGGUACCUAAUCAGAAAGCCACGGCUAACUACGUGCCAGCAGCCGCGGUAAUACGUAGGUGGCAAGCGUUAUCCGGAAUUAUUGGGCGUAAAGCGCGCGUAGGCGGUUUAAGUCUGAUGUGAAAGCCCACGGCUCAACCGUGGAGGGUCAUUGGAAACUGGAAAACUUGAGUGCAGAAGAGGAAAGUGGAAUUCCAUGUGUAGCGGUGAAAUGCGCAGAGAUAUGGAGGAACACCAGUGGCGAAGGCGACUUUCUGGUCUGUAACUGACGCUGAUGUGCGAAAGCGUGGGGAUCAAACAGGAUUAGAUACCCUGGUAGUCCACGCCGUAAACGAUGAGUGCUAAGUGU